CGCAUCCGGCCGGGAGAGCGCGCAGCGAUUGCGCCGCCGAAGGGGUAUCACCCGAAAACUCUCAGGCACCAUGGACUGGCUGGAUCGG
rnacentral:ncRNA from 2 species